UGGGGAAUAUUGGGCAAUGGAGGCAACUCUGACCCAGCAACGCCGCGUGAGUGAAGAAUGUCUUCGGAUUGUAAAGCUCUUUAAGUAGGGAAGAAGAAAGUGACAGUACCUACAGAAUAAGCAUCGGCUAACUACGGGCCAGCAGCCGCGGUAAUACGUAGGAUGCAAGCGUUAUCCGGAAUGACUGGGCGUAAAGGGUGCGUAGGCGGUUUGCCAAGUUGGUAGCGUAAGCCCGGGGCUCAACCUCGGAACUACUACCAAAACUGGUAGGCUUGAGUGCGGCAGGGGUAUGUGGAAUUCCUAGUGUAGCGGUGGAAUGCGUAGAUAUUAGGAGGAACACCAGAGGCGAAAGCGACAUACUGGGCCGUAACUGACGCUGAGGCACGAAAGCGUGGGGAGCAAACAGG
rnacentral:rRNA from 2 species